rnacentral:rRNA from 1 species
GGAUCCUGAGUACGACGGAGCACGUGAAAUUCCGUCGGAAUCUGGGAGGACCAUCUCCUAAGGCUAAAUACUCUCUAGUGACCGAUAGUGAACCAGUACCGUGAGGGAAAGGUGAAAAGCACCCCGGAAGGGGAGUGAAAUAGAACCUGAAACCGUGUGCUUACAAGUAGUCAGAGCCCGUUAAUGGGUGAUGGCGUGCCUUUUGUAGAAUGAACCGGCGAGUUACGAUUUGAUGCAAGGUUAAGCAGUAAAUGUGGAGCCGUAGCGAAAGCGAGUCUGAAUAGGGCGUUUAGUAUUUGGUCGUAGACCCGAAACCAGGUGAUCUACCCUUGGUCAGGUUGAAGUUCAGGUAACACUGAAUGGAGGACCGAACCGACUUACGUUGAAAAGUGAGCGGAUGAACUGAGGGUAGCGGAGAAAUUCCAAUCGAACCUGGAGAUAGCUGGUUCUCUCCGAAAUAGCUUUAGGGCUAGCCUCAAGUGAUGAUUAUUGGAGGUAGAGCACUGUUUGGACGAGGGGCCCCUCUCGGGUUACCGAAUUCAGACAAACUCCGAAUGCCAAUUAAUUU